UGAGCCAAGUUUAGGGUUUUCUCAAAACCCAAGCAGUAUUGAACUGAAGAGUUUGAUCAUGGCUCAGAUUGAACGCUGGCGGCAGGCCUAACACAUGCAAGUCGAGCGGAUGAAGGGAGCUUGCUCCUGGAUUCAGCGGCGGACGGGUGAGUAAUGCCUAGGAAUCUGCCUGGUAGUGGGGGAUAA
rnacentral:rRNA from 1 species